rnacentral:rRNA from 1 species
UACGUAGGGAGCAAGCGUUGUCCGGAAUCAUUGGGCGUAAAGUGCGCGUAGGUGGCUUCGUAAGUCCGUUGUGAAAGUCAAAGGCUCAACCUUUGAAAGCCGAUGGAUACUGCGGAGCUAGAGUACGGAAGAGGCGAGUGGAAUUCCUGGUGUAGCGGUGGAAUGCGCAGAUAUCAGGAGGAACACCAAUAGCGAAGGCAGCUCGCUGGGACGUUACUGACACUGAGGCGCGAAAGCGUGGGGAGCGAACAGG